UUUAAGUGCAAUCAUAAGUUUCCGUGCUCAAUUUCGACCGUUUAUCUUAUUUAAUUACUAUUUUUAUUUUUAUGAGAUGAUAAAAUAUGAAUAGUAAAAUUUAAAUAAGACGGACAGUCAAAGUUGUGCAUGAAAAAUCAUGGUUACACUUAAA
rfam:Oryza sativa (indica cultivar-group) chromosome 1, whole genome shotgun sequence.